rnacentral:rRNA from 1 species
CCUACGGGAGGCAGCAGUAAGGAAUAUUGGACAAUGCUCGCAAGAGUGAUCCAGCCAUGCCGCGUGCAGGAAGAAUGCCCUAUGGGUAGUAAACUGCUUUUGAACUAGAGAAAAUCCCAGUACGUGUACUGGGCUGAUAGUAUAGUUAGAAUAAGCAUCGGCUAACUUCGUGCCAGCAGCCGCGGUAAGACGAAGGAUGCAAGCGUUAUCCGGAUUCAUUGGGUUUAAAGGGAGCGUAGGUGGACUGAUAAGUCAGUGGUGAAAUCUCCGAGCUUAACUCGGAAAUUGCCAUUGAUACUGUUGGUCUUGAGUACAGUUGCUGUGGGCGGAAUAUGACAUGUAGUGGUGAAAUACAUAGAGAUGUCAUAGAACACCGAUUGCGAAGGCAGCUCACAAAGCUGUAACUGACACUGGAGCGUACGAAGUAGGCGGGAGUACAACAGAGUAGUACUACCGUACGUACGUCCGACCGAACCGUAACG